UGGCUAGGCUGGUCUUGAACUCCUGACCUCAGGUGAUCCGCCUGCCUCGGCCUCCCAAAAUGCUAGGAUUACAGGUGUAAGACACCACACCCAGCCGCAGCCGUGAACUGUAACUUUUGUUGAAUGAUUACAGCAAUUUUUAUAGAUCGUCCCUUGCCCUGACACGUGACUCCUCCCCUCUUGUCCAUUUGCUAUCAUCAUCAACAUCAUUAUUUACAAACAUCAGUCAUUUUUCUGCCAAAGCAGUUUCUCAAAGUAUGUAAGAAAUUCCCAGGAAACUUGUUAACCAUGGAGAAGGCACCAUCCUUGGAUGAACUAAAUCAUAUUUCUGGAGAACCAAGGAAUAUGGUUUUUUAUCAUAUAUAUAUAUAUAUAUAUAUAUAUAUAUAUAUAUAUAUAUAUAUAUAAAUUAAAAAAAAAUUGAGACAGAGGUCAGGCAUGAGCCACCGCACCCCGCCCCUCUAAAAGCUUCCAUUUUUUUGCCAUGUGGGCCUCUCCAUAGUACUGCUUAUAACAUGGCACUUUGAUUUCCCCAGAGCAAGAGAUCCAAAAGAGGGAGAAAGAGAGAGCAAGAGAGACAGAGAGAGACAGAAAAUAGGAGCCCCUAAGCCCACAGCUGCAGUCUUUUUUUUUUUUU
rnacentral:lncRNA from 10 species